GCGUGUGCCUAUGGUAGAACAGCUUCUCUGCGAUGGUCAAGAUGAAAAAGAAAAAGGUCACAUCGGUUUGCAAUCCAAUAUCACAUUAGACGAUCGUUAGUUCAUCUCACUAGAUUUGUCCGCCCUGGUGUUCAGCGGCGCGCAGCCCAGCGGGGGCAGCAGGUUCACCAGCACCGCUCCGACGCCCAGGUCCUCAAGCUUCCUCACGCCGCCGACGAUCCCGUCCGUCACGUUCGAGAUGUACUGGGAGAACGCCAUGAUCGAGCAGCAGCAAAAAGCACAGAAGCUUCAUCAGUUAUCAGCACACGCAAGUAUAUCAGACCAUGCCGUUUGCGCGCUCACCAGGGGGUCCAUGUCGAGCAAGUCGCUGGGGACGUCAGCGUAGUCGGCGCCGGACGCGAUGGAGACGAGCGCGACCGACUGGCUGAGGUCCUUGCCGAUGAUCCUCUUCCGGAGCAGCCUCUUGAACUUGUUGACCUGCUUAUCCAAGUUCCACCCCGGGAACACGCCGGAGCCGGAGCUGGCGAAGUUCACGCCGGAGGACACAGGUCCACGCCGUCGUGCCGCCUCAGCCUCUCCGGCGGAGGGGCCUCCUUCUGCCCCAGGAUAAUCUUGGCUGCAAACGUAAGGACGACGCCCAAUACAUUUACAUAUAGUUGACCUACUACUAAUAAAUACUUCCUCCGUUCCAAAAUAAAUACAAUUCGAUGACCAAACACGUAAAUCAAUGCUAGGUGUAAAAUUACAAAAAUAUCUAUUGUCUUUUGUGAUGAGUGGAUGAGUUA